GUGCCAGCCGCCGCGGUAAUACCGGCAGCCCGAGUGAUGGCCGAUGUUAUUGGGCCUAAAGCGUCCGUAGCUGGCUGCGCAAGUCCGUCGGGAAAUCCACUCGCCCAACGAGUGGGCGUCCGACGGAAACUGCACAGCUUGGGACCGGAAGGCUCGAAGGGUACGUUCGGGGUAGGAGUGAGAUCCCAUGAUCCCGCACGGACCACCGAUGGCGAAAGCACUUCGAGAAAACGGAUCCGACAGUGAGGGACGAAAGCUAAGAUCGCGAACCGGAUUAGAAACCCCGGUAGUCC
rnacentral:rRNA from 1 species